rnacentral:sRNA from 12 species
CCGAGGAGUGACGUUCACGUAGCGAAGCUCCGUGAUUAUAAUACGUCACUCCGACCUGCCGCCGAAGCGCAGCUGAGGGGCGUUACCAAAA